CAGCAGCCGCGGGAAUACGAAGGGGGCUAGCGUUGCUCGGAAUGACUGGGCGUAAAGGGCGCGUAGGCGGCGAUCAAAGUCAGGCGUGAAAUUCCUGGGCUCAACCUGGGGGCUGCGCUUGAUACUUGGUUGCUUGAGUGGGGAAGAGGGUCGUGGAAUUCCCAGUGUAGAGGUGAAAUUCGUAGAUAUUGGGAAGAACACCGGUGGCGAAGGUGGCAACCUGGUCCUUGACUGACGCUGAGGCGCGAAAGCGUGGGGAGCAAACAGGAUUAGAUACCCCUGUAGUCCCUGUCUCUUAUAA
rnacentral:rRNA from 1 species